UUUGCAUAAUUGGCGAUAUGGAUCAACGGAGAUCGUUAUCGAACUUGUCUCUUGAACCUGCCGAUGUAUAUUGUCAGCGGGACAGCUCUAUUAUAAUUGGACACAGUCUGGACGAUUGUGACGCAUCUAUAUAUAUCUUCCAUCGUUUAUCGCUAAUCGUGAUUAUAAUCAAUUCGACCGACAGACACUGUCGUAACUGUUGUGACACGGAGCUUAGAACAAAAAUAUAAAAAUAUUUACUUUGCUGUAUUUUUUACGUCGCGUUAUCUACAUUUCUAUAUCCCGACAACGCAAUCUUUAUAUAUAAUAAACGUUUCCAGGGUUGUUCCACACAAGGCUACGAAAAUAUAAUAUACCCGAGAUGCGAAUAGCGGAGAAUGUCCAUUUAAAAAAAUUGUCCAAGCACCAUUAAAUAAACCGUAAAAGUCUAAUGAUUUCCAAAGAAGUCAUCGAUUCUUACGAAAGAUAUGAUCUCUGAAGAAAUGGAGAUAAUUUGAUUCCACUACAAAUUUUUAAUACACACACGCACUGCAAACAAAGAGAAAAAAAAAGAUAGUGAAAGAUAAGAAAUGGGACAAUUGGAGCAAACUUAUCGAAAACGUACACCGCUCACAUAAGGCAGAUCACCGAUACACGAUUCGGAGAUGACCGGGGCAGAUGUCCGAGGCUGGGAAAUCCGCAAAUAUGACUAAAAGAAGAAGGCACGGAAACGCAGCAAAUGCGCGAAACUGCUGAUGCGAGUCUAAACUGCGCACCCCCCGUAGCCCACCCCGCGUGUCCGCGGAGCUGAUCGUGCACUGCAGUGCGUAACGAACGGGAAGUAAGAAGGGCAUAGUUGUAUUUCUCUCUGCAGCUCAUGAAAAUCAUAAUUUUACCAGGACAUGCUGGAGGCAUUUUAAAUGUCUAAAGAAUUAAAUUGUAAACUAUUGCUGGCAAUUAACUUUUAAAUUAAUUUAAUUUAAAUGUUCGCUCGUAAAGAAAAAUAAAUGGAACGAAAAUGAGAAAAAUAACUUCUGAUAGUCAGAUGAAACGCAUUAUAAAACGGCUCUAUAGCGUAGAAAGUGUAUAAAUAUAUAGCGAUAGUUGAUAACGCUAAAGCGUUAUUGAACCGGAAUGUCUAAUGCUAGCUGUAUCGUGGCAAGAACACGUCAUUGCGAUGAAGAGAUCUUGUGUGGUGAGAUGAUGCGACGCGCGCAAAGUUAUCGAAGGUGAGACGUGCUGCUUGGAACCACGAAAUUCGCUUGUCUCUCCUCAACAGUCACUAUCAAACUGCUGGUUCGUACGAGACGUCAGAAUACUAAUAUUCACAGUCACGCAUAUACAAACGCGUGCACCGGUCGCGUUAUACACGCAUUGGGGGAGAAUCUAAAUCAUGUGAUGGAGACUGUUUAUGUGGAGCACCCCGCAAUUGAUUUUUCCUAUCAUCAAACCUAUCGAGGAGAGAGAUGACCGUACGUAAUUAAUUCCGAACAAAAAAAUUAUCCUUAAAAUUAAUUUUGAUAGCGUUGUAAUACGGAAUUACUUUUUUCGAAAAAUUUACAUGUAAGUAACGCCAAAUAAUUUAGUUAUUAAAAAAAUAAUUAUUUUUUAACUUUUAUCAGUACUUACAAAUAAUACUUAAUAUUUACCGAUGUUUAUUGACAUUACACCUAGAAUGUUCAAUGUUUUUUGUAGUGAAAUCGAAGCAUAUAAAUGGUGUAAAAUCAAAUAAAAAAAUAACGUUAAAAUAAUUAAUUAUAUUCUUAGUUCUUCUUUAGUUAAAUAACUAAAGAUACACAAGUAAAAAUACACAUUGUGUUUUUUGUUUUAAAAUUUUAUUGAAUAUUUAACGUACAUUAAAGACGCAUACUCGUAACAUUAUCUCUAAUCGUCCAUGAUGUACAUUAAUCGGUCAAUCAAUUCUAAUUC